AGUGAACGCUGGCGGUAGGCCUAACACAUGCAAGUCGAACGGCAGCACAGUAAGAGCUUGCUCUUACGGGUGGCGAGUGGCGGACGGGUGAGGAAUACAUCGGAAUCUACUUUUACGUGGGGGAUAACGUAGGGAAACUUACGCUAAUACCGCAUACGACCUACGGGUGAAAGCAAGGGAUCUUCGGACCUUGCGCGAUUGAAUGAGCCGAUGUCGGAUUAGCUAGUUGGCGGGGUAAAGGCCCACCAAGGCGACGAUCCGUAGCUGGUCUGAGAGGAUGAUCAGCCACACUGGAACUGAGACACGGUCCAGACUCCUACGGGAGGCAGCAGUGGGGAAUAUUGGACAAUGGGCGCAAGCCUGAUCCAGCCAUACCGCGUGGGUGAAGAAGGCCUUCGGGUUGUAAAGCCCUUUUGUUGGGAAAGAAAAGCAGCAGGUUAAUACCCCGCUGUUCUGACGGUACCCAAAGAAUAAGCACCGGCUAACUUCGUG
rnacentral:rRNA from 1 species